rnacentral:rRNA from 1 species
CAGAGGGGGGCAAGCGUUAUUCGGAAUUAUUGGGCGUAAAGGGCGCGUAGGCGGCUUUGCAAGUGACGGGUGAAAUCCCUCGGCUUAACCGAGGAACUGCCUGUCAAACUGCAUGGCUUGAGACCGGGAGAGGUGAGUGGAAUUCCCAGUGUAGCGGUGAAAUGCGUAGAUAUUGGGAGGAACACCAGUGGCGAAGGCGGCUCACUGGACCGGUACUGACGCUGAUGCGCGAAAGCGUGGGUAGCAAACAGGAUUAGAUACCCUGGUAGUCCACGCCGUAAACGAUGAGUGCUUGGUGUAGCGGGUAUCGACCCCUGCUGUGCCGAAGUCAACACAUUAAGCACUCCGCCUGGGGAGUACGGUCGCAAGGCUG